rnacentral:sRNA from 1 species
GUGUUAUAUAGGAAAAGAGUAAAAUCUCCUUACAGAUAAAACAACAAAAGGGGCUUGAUAUUUACCAUAGAAAUAGGUGGAUAAAAAUCAGCAGAUUUUUAAAUUUUUUUUUAGCAAGAUCUACUGUACUUAAUUGUCAAGAUAUUUAAAUUUUGAUUCUGUUGAUUUGAUCAGAGUUAAGACUAUUAUUGAUCAGGUGAGCGAUGUGGCCCCUAGGCCUCUUGUUCAAGUUUGUAUUUCAGACAGAUGUCACAAAGUUAACAUGUUGUAAGGUACAUGAAAUUAUAACUACAGUAAAACAUGGUUAUAUUUAACUCGCUUGUAAUGAACUGACGCUUCCAGUGAAAUGAUUUUCAUUCCCUGUUACUUUUUUACAUGUUGUCAAGUGUAUGGAUAAAACGAAUUUCUGUUAUAAGGAAGCAAACUCGCCGUCCCUGGCACUUUAAGACUGAUAAUUUUUAUCAGCAAAGGGUAAUCACUUCUUGUAAUUCCUGAUUGAUUCCAUGAACUGUAUAACUUUAAGCUACUUGUGAUUAUUUGAGGGAUCCAAUAAACAAGGUUGUGAA